GAUGAACGCUGGCGGCGUGCCUAAUACAUGCAAGUCGAGCGAACAGAUGAGGAGCUUCUCCUCUGACGUUAGCGGCGUACGGUUGAGUAACACGUGGAUAACCUACCUAUAAGACUUGGAUAACUUCGGUAAACCGGAGCUAAUACCGGAUAAUAUAUUUAACCGCUUGGUUCAAUAGUGAAAGACGGUUUUGCUGUCACUUAUAGAUUUAUCCUCGCCGCAUUAGCUAGUUGGUAAGGUAACGUCUUACCAAGGCAACGAUGCGUAGCCGACCUGAGAGGGUGAUCGGCCAGACUGGAAGGGAGAAACGGAACAGACGACUACGGGAGGAAGCAGUAGGGAAUAUUCCGAAAUGGGCGAAAGCCUGACGGAGCAAAGCCGCGUGAGUGAUGAAGGACUUCGGAUCGUAAAACUCUGUUAUUAGGGAAGAAAAAAUGUGUAAGUAAAUAUGAACGUAUUGACGGUACCUAAUCAGAAAGCCACGGCUAACUACGUG
rnacentral:rRNA from 1 species